UACGUAGCAGCGAGCGUUGUUCGGAAUUACUGGGCGUAAAGAGUGUGUAGGCGGUGUUCCAAGUUUGGUGUGAAAUCUCCCGGCUCAACUGGGAGGGUGCGCCGAAUACUGAAUGACUUCGAGUGCGGGAGAGGAGAGUGGAAUUCCUGGUGUAGCGGUGAAAUGCGUAGAUAUCAGGAGGAACACCGGUGGUGUAGACGGCUCUCUGGACCGUAACUGACGCUGAGACACGAAAGCGUGGGUAGCAAACAGG
rnacentral:rRNA from 1 species